GGCUCAUCCCAUCUUCCUGUUUAUUUCUGAUGAGAGCAAUGACCGCGUCUGCACGGCGCGUCCCAGCCCUGCGUGCUCACAGCCACAUCCAGCCGGGCCCAGCUGUCCCUCGAGGGGAUGCCACGUAUCCCCCCCAGCCAUUGGGAUCCAUUGGGGUCUGGUUUUCCUCCACUCUGCGUCUCCCCAGCACGAUGGCUGUGCUCAGCCCCAGUGGCUGUGCAAAGCUUCUGUGUGGAACGAGAUUUAAAGCAGCGCAGCAAAGAGGUGAUAGAAAAACCAAACUCUAUUAAAAACCCAUUUUCUGCAGGCUCUGCCCACCCACCCUGCCACGGUGCUGUGGGUGGGUGCCGGUGCUGUGGCAACAUGGGGGCACUUCGGUGGCGAUGGGGCACAGAGGCUCUGCCCAUCCAUCCCCAGAUGGGGGUCCAUCUCCCCUCCAUGGGGCUGAGCGAGAUGAAGGAAGGCCAGGGCGCGUUUCUGCCCCCUGAAGUACUCUUC
rnacentral:lncRNA from 1 species